AGGGAAUCUUCCUCAAUGGACGAAAGUCUGACGGAGCAACGCCGCGUGAGUGAUGAAGGUUUUCGGAUCGUAAAGCCCUGUUGCCAGGGAAGAACGUCCUUAAGAGUAACUGCUAACGGAGUGACGGUACCUGAGAAGAAAGCCCCGGCUAACUACGUGCCAGCAGCCGCGGUAAUACGUAGGGGGCGAGCGUUGUCCGGAAUUAUUGGGCGUAAAGCGCGCGCAGGCGGCUGUUUAAGUCUGGUGUUUAAUCCUGGGGCUCAACCCCGGGUCGCACUGGAAACUGGACAGCUUGAGUGCAGAAGAGGAGAGUGGAAUUCCACGUGUAGCGGUGAAAUGCGUAGAGAUGUGGAGGAACACCAGUGGCGAAGGCGACUCUCUGGGCUGUAACUGACGCUGAGGCGCGAAAGCGUGGGGAGCAAAC
rnacentral:rRNA from 1 species